rnacentral:lncRNA from 1 species
AAAAUGUGUGUCAUUUCCUCCGUCUCUGCCACACGAUCAGUCAAAAAUAGGAAUUUAAUGAAAAAAAAAAAAAGUAAAAAAAAAUGUCUACCUAGAAGAACAGCAGACAGGCCAGGAGGGUAGAUGGAGCUGCUGCCUUGCCGAAGGGCCCGAGGUAAGGCCAAGAGAAGGCCACGUCUAAGGAGGGCAGCCAUGUAACUGAAAGGCUACAGAAAGGAAGAGAGACACUGGAGAGAUCAGGAAACCCCUGAUCUCUCUGCUGAAGCAGCAGCUGAUGGUCCUGGUCAGUCAUGUGACCUCCAUCAUAACAUUCUCCUCUUCAUCGCUUCUUCAAGGAUCAUCCUCGUCGUCUUCUGCUACCAGAACAACUUCUGGUCAGAAGCUCAACAGUCCUGCAGCUGGUUUUCUGCUCCUCCGGAGGUGAUGAAGGUUUAAUGAGGGUUGGAGGAGGAGGAUGUUCUCCCUGCUCUGAUAGGCCAGACUUCCAGAUCAAUUAGGCCAUUUUAAACCAAUUAAGACAAAAUGGAAGAAAUUUGUUGAUUUUCUUCAUUUAUUUCUCAUAAAUUCGGAUCUAUCAUGUUUAGUUUUCAUUUUAUCUUUAUUUAGUUAGUUUUUCCAACCACUUCUAUUCUCUGAGGGUAUUUAUCUGCAGGUGACAUAAGUUCUCCAGCUGGAUGGAAACUUUCUUCAUCAUCAUCAUCAUCCACACAGACAAACGGCUUCACUGCUGUCAGCUUCUGUUCAAGAGGAUCAGGUGACUCCCCCGCGUGCGCGUGUCAUGUUUCAGCUUCUUUGAUCUGUUAAAAACACCAGCUAAACCCAACCGAGAAGUUCGGUCCGGUUCGAACGACGCACCUACCAGAGAGCAGGAGGAGCAGCAGCAGCGGGAGCGCGGAGCCGGUGGACGGCAGCUUCGGUUCUGGUCUGGUUCGGUCCGGUCCGGUCCGGUCCGGAGCGGAGCAGGAGCUCCUCGGCCCUCCUCUUCACGCGAUCGCGGCUCUUCUCCUAUUAUGGUCAGCUGCCACUCCUCCUGGAUAGCUCCUCCCUCCCUGCUCCUCUCUGUGGAGGAGUGCACAGCUGCCUGCACUUUGUAAUUAAGACUAUUGAAGUUGCAGCCUUUCAGUUCUGAGUGUCGGUGCGUCCCUGUUAGGACCGUGAGUUUCCUGUUUUAGCCGACACUGAGGUUUGCAAUUGUUUAGGUUUUUUCUUAGUUAUUAGUUUUUUUGGGUUUUUUUUUUGUCCUUUAGCAGUUUUCCCUCUUGUAAGGUGUGUUUUUUUGUUGUUUAUUAAAAUAUAUUUGCUACCUUUCUGAGUCCAAGGCUGAUUCUCUCUCUCCUCCUGGGUUCUUGUCAUUCCAGCCUCACAAAAAGUGAC